GUGGCCUAGCGGUUAGGGCGUCCGCCUCGGAUGCGGUGGUUCGCGGAUUCAAAGCCCGACAGAGUCA